rnacentral:rRNA from 1 species
AUUGAACGCUGGCGACAUGCCUUACACAUGCAAGUCGAACGGCAGCACGGGAAGUUGUCCCUGGUAGGGAGUGCGGCUGGCGUGAGGAUUACAAAGGAACAUGUACCGUCGUGGGCGGUGGGAAGGCCAAAGCAGGAUUAAUACUGCAAACGCUUUACGGAUGACGGCGGGAGCAGAUAGUGAAUGGCGCUUGCGCGUUGGCAGACGGCGGAUUAGCUAGUGGGUGGGGUAGGGGCCGACGAAGGCGACGAUCAGGAGCCGGUCUGAGAGGAAGACCAGCCACACUGGAACUAGGACACGGCCCAGACUCCUACGGGAGGCAGCAGUGGGGAAUUUUGGACAAUGGGCGAAAGCCUGAUCCAGCAAUGCCGCGUGGGUGAAGAAGGCCUUCGGGUUGUAAAGCACUUUUGUCCGGAAAGAAAAGCUUCGCCCUAAUACGGUGGUGUUAUGACGGUACCCGAAGAAUAAGCACCGGCUAACUACGUG